GAGUUGAAGACCUCCUCUUUUUUCUGACUUUCCCCCUCAAAAUAAUAACACAAACGUGGAAGGAAAGACCAAGCUGAAGAAGGAAAUGUAUAUUUUGGAGAAAGAAAAUGUAUUUUUGUCCAUAUAUUGACAGAGGAAGUUCAGUGCCCUGUUCUUUGAGAACAGGUAGUCAUCCGCUCAUUGGAGGAGUACCAUUAACAUUCAUGAGCCUUUUGGAUGAAGCAGGAGAAUACAGGUGAAUUCUGAUGACGCUGUGAUAAAAUGCUCCUUCAUAAGGAAAGCUGUAAAGUGAAGCCAGCAAACGUCCAGAUGAGGGUGUCCUGUGCCAGCUCGUCCAUCCAGCUGGAUUUGCACCGGAUUAAAGUGAUUGUACCUGACUCCUUAUCUAAGGGUCUGCUUCUAACAUUUCCACAGUGAGACAAAAUUUGUUGAUUCCAGAAGUUAAUGGAAAGAUGCAGAAACUGAGACACACAGAAGCUAAGUUGCUCAGUGUCACACAAGUGGUGAGGACAAGUUUGAGUCCGAGUGGUUUGUCUCAAAAGUGCUCAGAAGGACUCCACCAUGGACUGGGGUGUACUCUGCUGUCUGGAGAGGAGUGUUCAAAACUUCAGGGGAGCGUCUGUGUGUGGAGGCCCUUGCCUGCAAUCCCAGCUACUCCAGAGGUUGAGGCAGGAGGAUUGCAAGUUCCAGGCUGCCCUAGACAACUUAGUGAGGCCCUGUCUCAAAAUAAAAUUCAAAAUAAAGGACUGGGAAUGUAGCUCAGUGGUAGAAGGCUUGCCUAGCAUGAGCAAGGCCCCUUGGUUCAAUCCCCAGUACUACAAAAAUAAAACAAAAGAAAUUUAAAGGGAGCAGAGGCAAAGGACAUGGAGAGAGUCCUUUGGUAGAUGAAAGUGAGAAGUUCAAUUAUACUAACACUUCCCAGUCAUUCAAGAUGUUUGUACUUCUAGUAAGAGAUGAGAUAGUGGUAACUAGCAAGAAGUAUGCUGGAGUUUUGAACUCUACCUGCUAAAAAUCAUAAUAUACAGAGCCUACGCAUUUGGAAUCUCAAGGAGGACUUUUUAAUCAGAGGUAGAUAGAAAUAAAAAGUGCUUACUUAGCCUGGAGCUGAAUGUAAUUUUGAGUUGAAAGCUUAAUUAUCUAAAUUUCACCUAUGUGAGCAAUCGUAUUCUGUUUAUAUAAUUCUAUUUUAAGACAUGAGUUUAAAAUAUGGCUUUGCUAUAAAUAAAUAUCUGUUUUUACAUACAAAGACCACUGGUGAGAUACAAAGAUGCUUUAAUUUUUUCUUUUCUAGGGCUUUAGAUGUUUAAGAAAAUCUACGCUAUAGUAUCCAACUGAUAAGUCAGUUUAAUGACACUACCAGUAAGAGUGUAAAGGAGAACAAAGCAGCUAAAAAGUAAUCUCUUUCCUUAUUCCUGCAUUAUCUUUAUAAGAUACACAGUCUAUCGUCUUUCUUUUGCUUAAUAAAAAAAUUUAAUCAGUAUCUCCUUUGUCUACAGAAUACACCACCAUUUGGCUUUCACACUUCUAGCCUCUUGUCCCACCUUUUCAGGCUCUGUGCACUUGGGAUUUUUCAGUCUUCUCUCCAUAGCCAUACAGGGUCAAAGCCCUUCAAUCCUUGUGUCCACUCCAUGUGGUUCUCAGUCCCUGAUUAUCUGUGUCCUUAUGCCAGGGGUAGGCAAGCUCAGCUCUCAGCCUGUCCCGAAGCCCCUACCACUAUCCAGAGAGGACUACUGAUGACCCUCUGCCAUGUUCCCAUAACAUUUUGAGGCUUUCGCCUAAGUUUUCGUUUCUGUGGUGAUGAGUUAGGUAUAAUAUCUUCUCAUUCUAAGGUUUAGUUAGGUAUAUUUACAGAAUCAAGAGGAUUUGAAUUGGAAAGUGCCCUAGAGAUCAGCUAAGACAACCUUCUCAUUUCACCAGAAAUAACUGAAAUUUUAGGAGACAUAUCCAUUUUGUUAUUUCUGGUUAGUCAUAGAACUCAAACUAGAACUUUGUCCUGACCCUGUGCUUUUUUUUUUAUAAAAUAUGCUGUAGACAAUGUCAUUUUUUCCUUUAAAUUGUCCCUGUUCUACUUCACAGAAUCCAAGGAAAUGUUAGAUUACAUGACAAAGGGCCAUUAAGUUUGUAGACAGAAUUAAGACCAAAUUUAAAAUGGGGAAAUUAUCCUGGAUUCUCUGGGUAGAACUUUUGUGGUCAGAAAAGUAUUUUUAAAUGUGGGAAAGGAAGGCAGAAGAGUGUCACAGUGAUGUGAUAGGAGAAAGAUUGGCCAUACUGGCUUUGAAGAUGGAAGGAGGCCAUGAACAAAGGAGUGUGGGUGAUGUCUAGAAACUGAAAAGGGUAAGAAAAUGAAUUUUCUCCCACAAUCUCCAAAAGAAAUAUAUUUCUGACAGCACUUUGAUUUGGGCCCAGUGACACCCAGUUAGACUUCUGACAUCCACAACUAUACUAUAAGAUGAUAAAUUUUCUGUUUUUAACCUGCUAAAUUCAUGGUAAUUUAUUUUAACAACAAUGGGGAAUGGCUAUAAGCUUCUACAUGCAAAUAGCAUUAAAUGGGUAAUUCAAGGCUUAAUACAGAGCAAUUUGAACACUGAAAUUUCUUAAAAGGCAUAUUUUAUUUUCACAAAAUUUGUAUUUAUUUUGAAUGUUUUUGGUUUUAUUUAUUCCUUCCAACAGAUUUCUAUUAAAUGUGUGCCAUUUGCUGUAUCAGACAUUAUGGUAGAUUGAAUAGCCAUCUCCUUGUUGCUGUCUCCUUGAGGAUAAAAUGCUAAUUUCUGAUGUCUUUUUCUUUUCUGGUACUGAGGAUUGAACCCAGAGCCUUCACAGGGUACUACAUCUCCAGUCCUUUAUUUUUUAUUUUGAGACAGGGUCCUACUUAGUCACCAAGUUGCUCAGGCUGGGUUUGAAGUUGCAAUCCUUCUUCCUCAACUUCCCAGAGUGCUGGGAUUAUUAGCAUGUACCACCACACCCAGAUUCUUAUGCUUUGACUUUCUAAUUUGUUUUGGACAUUUGCAUGUGGGCAGAAGAAAUGUGCCACUUUUGAGCAAAGUUUAUUAAUUCUGCUUGCUUUCUUAUGGCUUUGUGAUGUUACUGCUUUAAAAUGAGGCUCCCCAUGUUAUCUGCUACCUAAUCUGGACAACACUUGAAACACUUGAAAGAGUUCCCACAGACUUGUGAGGAAGCUACAUGCUUAUUUUGCUAUGCCAAUGGUACUACUGAGUGUGUUACAUAGUCAUAACAGUAGAUGACUGGCUUUGUCAUGUAAACAAAUGACCUACACACUUUUUAAAGAGUUUUAAUAGUAGAAACAUAUGCAGUUAAUGGAAUUAUCUCAUAGUAUAAAGGAGUGUUUUAUCAAAGAGAAGUCCAGGAGGCUUUAUAGAUAGGGUAAUAGCUGAGCUGAAUCAGAAAGGAUGGAAAUAAUUUCUCUAGUCUGUAAAAGGUGUGACUUGAGUAGAUGAGAAAGGCUCUUCAGGGUAAAUAUAAUACUGUCUUAAUCAAAACACCCAACACCCACACCUCAAAGGAGGAAAAGUUUAUUGUGACUCAUAAUUCCCGUCCAUGGUUGGUUGGCUUCAAGGCAGAAACAGGGCAACAGAGGGGCAUGGUAAAGGAAAAGGAAAAGGAAAAGGUGCUUAACCCAUGGUGUCCAGGAAGCAGAUGAAAAUGGAGGAGGUGGGGAAGGAGAUGCACCUUUACAGGUCUCACUGCCAGUGACCCACUUCUUCCUACUUGGCCCUGCCUCUGACCAGCACAUUUCAUUAUAAUCCAUUGAUGAGUAAAGUGCCUCCACAAUCCAGUCACUUUCCAAAACACAGGAAAAUUUGAAAGGGCAUUUUAGAUCUAAACCAUAACACAUAUCUUUAAGCAAAUUUAAAGGAAAUUUAGUGUCAACUGAAGGCACUAGGAAAUAUGCCUUUAUUUUACUCUGGGUUUGUCUUUUUUGAUAGUUUUCCCAUAGAACUUGCAAAGUAAUAUUUCUCAAGUAAAUAAAUAGGUAUUAUGUAUGAUUUCUGAGAUGACCACAAAAUUGUGAUGUAAUUCUUUAAGGAGCAGAGACAGCAGGAAAUAAAGAGGAACUAGUUUUCAAAGGCUUCCUAUGGUGCAGGUAGAUUCUCUGUCUCCUUCUUAGCAAAGGUAAUUCCCUGUCUCUCCACUGAUAGGACACUGCUAAUGCCACCCCUCUUUUUCUGACAUUAUUUUCAGUGCAGAAUUGCUUUUUCCAGCUGAAUUACUCCUGGAUCACUUUGGAUUUUCAAGUGGUUUUAAGUACACAUGCAAGUCAAUACCAAGAACAACUAAGAAAUUGAUAGGAAGGUCAUGUCUUUUAAAUUUGUAAACUAUGCCAUGAGUGGGGCUAGGAGACCAUGGCACUUGUUUCAUUCUUUGGUGUAUUGGUCUUUCUUAGGUUCUGGGACAUCCUACUGUACCCUAACCCUAGAUAGUCUUUUUCCAAACAGACACCUUUAGUCACAAGGGAAAGGUAAGACAAUGGUAAGUCUUUCCUUUCAGGAAGAAUAGCAUAAUUUUCCAACUCACUGUGGAUCAGCAGUAUCUUUCUGUCUGAUAAGAGAGAUACAUGUCAUGAUUUUAACAGAGUUUGAAUUUGUUCCACAGAGUAGACUUGAAACUAUGUAAAAUCUUAUGCACAUUGCCAUGUGUGCCUCACCUCCUUCUAUCAUAUCUAAAAAUUUCAAUUUUAAUUCCCAUGUAAUUUACUUUUGUUAUUUAAAAAUUUUCAUAUUCACAUAGCCAAAUUCUAUGCAACUUGCAGAAAAAAUGCGUACUAUUUCUGUCAAAAAUUGCAUGCAAUUCUAAAAUAAGCAGAGUUGAAGAUGUUAAUGAAAAGAGAUCUGCAAGUGUAACUAAUAUGAUCUCAUUGUUAAACAAUUCACCAAAUAAAUGCCGUGGUUGGAUUUAGAUACCAGAUGUCAAACCACAUAGUAAUGAAGAUACAGUUGCUUGCUUCCCUGUCACUGGUCGCCAGAAAGAAACAGAUGGUUAAAAAGAUAUGUAGCUGAGGCAAGGCAUGGAAAUAGGAAACCACAGAGUAGAAAUUCUGCCUUUUAAGUAACAGUAAUUUUCUAGUCUGGAAAACAUGGUGUUUUAUACCUCCUCUUAUGCACUUAAGCAGUUUAAAUGUGAAACAUAGCAAAAAUAGUCCAAGCAAGGCUGGCAACUUGCAAAUUUUGCAGUGCAUAGUUGCAUCUCAAAAAUCUUGGAGGCAGACGUACAACAGUAAAAGGCAAACACUUGUAAGCAGUUGAAUACAAUUAUGUGGUGGUUAUUACCUAAGCUCAUUACAGCUUCAGAAGGGGUUCUGUGAACUUGUGCUCUAACUAGUAGGUCAGGCAAAAUGCAAAUAAGGACUAAAUUUGAAAGCAAGUAACAUAAAAACCAGAUACAAUUUAGACUGGGAGUCUAUAAUUUGGGUUUAAAAAAUAAGCCUCAGCAAGAAUCAUCCUCAUUACAAUAAUGGCUUGUUUAUUCUGCACAACUUGUUUACAAUUACAGACCCUCUUUAAAAGCUGAUUUUAACAGGAAAUAGGAGCAUGCAAAGAGACAGAGCAGGGAUGGGGGGAAGAGACAGAGAGAGAGAGAGAGAGAGAGAGGAGAGAGGAGAGAAGAGAGGGCAAGGGCUUCAUGGUUGGUCAGUUGUUAUAAUUAGAGUAGAUGCAUAUAUGUAUUGCAAAACCAUUUAUGCCUUUACUCCAAAUCUUUUAAUUUCAGAUUUCUGUCACUGAAAUAUAAAGUCUCAAAUAGUCUAUUAUUCCAAAGAUAUCAUUAUAAUUGAAUUUCUAAUGAGAGUGUCUAUGGAGCUUUGUUCCUAGUAUUUCCAUUAUGACAUUGGAAUCCUCUUUAUCUAUUAUGGUCAGGUGACCAUGAAAUGAUGAGCUACAGCUGUUACAGGGCAUGUGUCUGCUGGGGCUUAAUUUAUAGUAAAUACACAUUUUAUUGCUAAUAUGUUUUUUUUUCUCAUUCAUUUCUUCAAAUAGUCAUUCAAAUAUUCAGGGGAACCUGGAAGGAGGCAGAGAUAAUGCUCAGGAUAACCAGAUGCCUGGGAUUGAAUCUUGAUCUUGUUACUAACUGCGUAAUCUUGGGCCUCUGUGUCUCAGCCUUCUUUUCUUUAUAAUGAAGGUGGUAACUCUCUUGUAGAUUGUUGUGAAGUUUAAAUAAAUUAAUACAUCUUAAGAGCUCAGAAAAGUCCCUGCCACAUAAUAAUAUGCUACCUAUUGUUAUUAUUCUUUGCUGGACCUUGGGAACAUAGUGGUGAUCGGGAUGUGCUCGAUCUCUUCCUUUACAGAACUAACGUUCUUGGGGAGAGAGGAGAUGGCAUUAGGCAGCUAGUCAUCCACUUAAUUACUUUUGUGGUAAGUGCAGCAGGAAAGUAUCAAAGUGAAGCUGUUGUAUAAAAUGGGGACUUGACCUGUUUGGGGUAGAUUUCCAGCUUCUAGAAGUGACAUUUGCUCUCUAAAGGAUGACUAAGAAUUAUUUAGGAAGUUAGAAAUCAGGAGAACAUGUAGGGAGAUUGCUUUGCUUACAGAAGCAAAAUGGGAGAUGAAAGGUAUAAUGCGGCAAACUGCUUAGAACUCACACUUCCAUACUCUGUGGCUGGAAACAAUUCAGUUACAAUGGUUUGAUCAUAGACUGAGUUUUCUUGUCAUUGAUUCCUUUUGUUCUUCCACUUAGACUCCUUGAUCCUUUGUGGAUCCUUUAUCCAUGAAACACACUGUAAAAUCCUGGGGUUUUCAUUGGUUAGAUGCCUCUGUUUUCUUACAAGCUCAUGACAAAGUCAUUUCUCACUAUAUUUUGUUGUUUUCAGCAAGUCAACUAAAGUUAGAAUCCAAAAAUACAUGUAAAUAGAAGUGCAUGUAAAUAGAGGUGUAUGUAUGUUGUAUAUAAUUUUACAUUAAAUUUAUAACUAUUUUUACAAAUUGACCAUACCAUUUGUAGAAUUUUGCAUUCUGCUUCUUUAUUGAGAUUUUAUGUGAACUUUUUCUUGUAUCAUAGUAUUCUUUGAAAAUAAAGAUUUAAACUAUAAUGCAUGGCUGUUCAGUUGUGUGAUUGAUCCCAUUUUGUGAACAUGGCUGAACAUUUUAGAUUGCAUCCAAAUGUUUAUCAUCAUAAAUAAUGCCGUAAAAAUGUUUACUGGAGUGCUUUUAGAUAAGUCUCCUUAGAGUGGCGCAUUGUCAGAAAUAAUAUUGGUAUAUCAAGGACCGUUUAUUUCUUUUUAAGUUUCUUUGUAUAUAUA
ensembl:lncRNA